rnacentral:rRNA from 1 species
UAUACGACUCUCGGCAAUGGAUAUCUCGGCUCUCGCAUCGAUGAAGAGCGCAGCGAAAUGCGAUAUGUGGUGCGAAUUGCAGAAUCCCGCGAACCAUCGAGUCUUUGAACGCAAGUUGCGCCCGAGGCCAACCGGUCGAGGGCACGUCUGCCUGGGCGUCAACC